rnacentral:rRNA from 1 species
AACGAACGCUGGCGGCAGGCCUAACACAUGCAAGUCGAACGCUCGUAGCAAUACGAGAGUGGCAGACGGGUGAGUAACACGUGGGAACCUUCCCUAUGGUUCGGAAUAGCUCAGGGAAACUUGGGGUAAUACCGGAUAAGCCCUUCGGGGGAAGAUUUAUCGCCAUUGGAUGGGCCCGCGUCGGAUUAGCUAGUUGGUGAGGUAACGGCUCACCAAGGCAACGAUCCGUAGCUGGUCUGAGAGGAUGAUCAGCCACACUGGACUGAGACACGGUCCAGACUCCUACGGGAGGCAGCAGUGGGGAAUUUUGCGCAAUGGGCGAAAGCCUGACGCAGCAACGCCGCGUGUGUGAUGAAGG